rnacentral:rRNA from 1 species
CGGGUGCUUGCACCUGGUGGCGAGUGGCGAACGGGUGAGUAAUACAUCGGAACAUGUCCUGUAGUGGGGGAUAGCCCGGCGAAAGCCGGAUUAAUACCGCAUACGAUCUACGGAUGAAAGCGGGGGACCUUCGGGCCUCGCGCUAUAGGGUUGGCCGAUGGCUGAUUAGCUAGUUGGCGGGGUAAAGGCCUACCAAGGCGACGAUCAGUAGCUGGUCUGAGAGGACGACCAGCCACACUGGGACUGAGACACGGCCCAGACUCCUACGGGAGGCAGCAGUGGGGAAUUUUGGACAAUGGGCGAAAGCCUGAUCCAGCAAUGCCGCGUGUGUGAAGAAGGCCUUCGGGUUGUAAAGCACUUUUGUCCGGAAAGAAAUCCUUGGCUCUAAUACAGUCGGGGGAUGACGGUACCGGAAGAAUAAGCACCGGCUAACUACGUGCCAGCAGCCGCGGUAAUACGUAGGGUGCGAGCGUUAAUCGGAAUUACUGGGCGUAAAGCGUGCGCAGGCGGUUUGCUAAGACCGAUGUGAAAUCCCCGGGCUCAACCUGGGAACUGCAUUGGUGACUGGCAGGCUAGAGUAUGGCAGAGGGGGGUAGAAUUCCACGUGUAGCAGUGAAAUGCGUAGAGAUGUGGAGGAAAUACCGAUGGCGAAGGCAGCCCCCUGGGCCAAUACUGACGCUCAUGCACGAAAGCGUGGGGAGCAAAACAGGAUUAGAUACCCUGGUAGUCCACGCCCUAAACGAUGUCAACUAGUUGUUGGGGAUUCAUUUCCUUAGUAACGUAGCUAACGCGUGAAGUUGACCGCCUGGGGAGUACGGUCGCAAGAUUAAAACUCAAAGGAAUUGACGGGGACCCGCACAAGCGGUGGAUGAUGUGGAUUAAUUCGAUGCAACGCGAAAAACCUUACCUACCCUUGACAUGGUCGGAAUCCCGCUGAGAGGUGGGAGUGCUCGAAAGAGAACCGGCGCACAGGUGCUGCAUGGCUGUCGUCAGCUCGUGCCGUGAGAUGUUGGGUUAAGUCCCGCAACGAGCGCAACCCUUGUCCUUAGUUGCUACGCAAGAGCACUCUAAGGGAGACUGCCGGUGAACAAACCGGAAGGAAGGUGGGGGAUGACCGUCAAGUCCUCAUGGCCCUUAUGGGUAGGGCUUCACACGUCAUACAAUGGUCGGAACAGAGGGUUGCCAACCCGCGAGGGGGAGCUAAUCCCAGAAAACCGAUCGUAGUCCGGAUUGCACUCUGCAACUCGAGUGCAUGGAGCUGGAAUCGCUAGUAAUCGCGGAUCAGCAUGCCGCGGUGAAUACGUUCCCGGGUCUUGUACACACCGCCCGUCACACCAUGGGAGUGGGUUUUACCAGAAGUGGC